rnacentral:tRNA from 1 species
GGAGGUAUAGCUCAAGUGGUAGAGUGCAUGCUUAGCAUGCAUGAGGUCCUGGGUUCAAUCCCCAGUACCUCCU